GAUGAAGAACGUAGCGAAAUGCGAUACUUGGUGUGAAUUGCAGAAUCCCGUGAACCAUCGAGUCUUUGAACGCAAGUUGCGCCCGAAGCCAUUAGGCCGAGGGCACGCCUGCCUGGGCGUCACACGUCGUUGCCCCCCCAUCUACUCCUUCGGGAUUGCGGGGGGCGGAUGAUGGCCUCCCGUGCGCCUCGUCGCGCGGUUGGCAUAAAUGCCAAGUCCUCGGCGACGCACGCCACGACAAUCGGUGGUUGCGAAACCUCGGUUGCCCGUCGUGUGCGGUCGUCGCGCAUCGAGGGCUCGAAAAAAUUGCCGGGCUCCGGCUCGGCUUUCAACGCGACCCCAGGUCAGGCGGGGUUACCCGCUGAAUUUAAGCAUAUCAAUUAGCGGAGGA
rnacentral:misc_RNA from 1 species